rnacentral:rRNA from 1 species
AACAAACGCUGGCGGCGUGCCUAACACAUGCAAGUCGUACGAGAAAGGGUCCUUCGGGACCUGAGUAAAGUGGCGCACGGGUGAGUAACGCGUGGAUAAUCUGCCCUUCAGUUGGGAAUAACUCACCGAAAGGUGGGCUAAUACCGAAUAACGCUGUGAGACUUUGGUCGAUCAGCCAAAGAGAGCCUCUGCUUGCAUGCCCUCGCUGAAGGAUGAGUCCGCGUACCAUUAGCUAGUUGGUAGGGUAAUGGCCUACCAAGGCGACGAUGGUUAGCUGGUCUGAGAGGAUGAUCAGCCACACUGGAACUGAGACACGGUCCAGACUCCUACGGGAGGCAG